AGCCUGAAUGACAGAGUGAGACAGUCUCAAAAAACAAACAAACAAAACCCAACUUUGGGUCACGCAUCCAUCCUUGACCAAUUAGCUGUAGCUAGGGAAGUGGAGUCCUACGGACACAGCAAACCACCACGAGAAUCAUGGAGAUGAAUAGGGGCAGGAUAAUUUACCAGAGGAAGCCUAGAGUGGAGUGCUGGACAGACCACCAUGUGGAGUUGCCAUCUGAGGACAUUGCUACUUGGAUACCCCCACAGUCCAGCCGAGCUGCCAUCUCUUCAAGGAAGUUUUCCCUGAAGCCCUCAGGUAGACCCGUUUUUCCAUGGCGGCCACAUCAGCAUGCAGCACAUUUAAUUGGAAGUCUCCACAUAUGAGUUGGUUUUCCUUACUUAAAAUAUGCUUAUCAUCCCUUGGAGGUCUGAUGCAUUUUUCUGUCUCUGCAGACCAGCUCCUCCCCCCUCCAAAUCUCAAUGGAAGAAUGCGACAUUCUGGAUUCAGCUACCCAAAGAGGGGUUUUUUCCCCCUCUUUGUCUCUAUUAUACAUUUUAUAGGAAGGAAUUCUGUCCCAGUUAAUUCAAACUGGGACCAGAGGAACAGGGUCCCGCUGCUCAAAAUGGCUGUCACCCGUGGGUAAGGGGAGCAGUCAGAGAGUCAUUGUGACUGGGGUGGCAGUCCCACUCCAAUCUGCCUUGUGGCUUCCUAGCCUGCAACAUACAUCCUCCCAGACAUACAAAAUGUGCCUCUGCCUGAGUCUUCCUGGCAGGGAGUUUGGUACCCCCCAACAUUGGGAGGGGAGCUUACAACACAGGACUAUCUCUUCCCAUAGAUAAUCUCCUCACAAAGCUCCACUCAGGACCACUUAUAUUCUUGAGCACUUGAAAAUAUUGGCUAUUUCCUUCUGACCCCCAUGGUUUCUUUUAAAAAAUUUGCUGUUGUUUGAAUUAUUUUUCUCUACAGGUAUUGACUGCUGCCUCAUGAAGGCUGGUCCUGUCUCUAUAGUGAAUAUUGUGCACCUCAGGGUAGAAUGGAGAGCAGAAGACUUCAAAUCAGGCAGUCUGGGUUCAGACCCCAAUUCUAGUGCUAAAUAGCUACGUGACUUUAGGCCGAUUGUGUGUGACUUCCCUGAGCCCCAGUCUCUUUGCCUGCAAAAUGAGAAAAAUUAUAACAAUGUCAUCGGUUGUUCUGAGGAUUCUGAGAGGAAUUAGUAGGAGAGAGAACUAAGAAGCUGCGGGCCUCUACAGAGCCAUUCAACUGGCAUUUCGGAAGAUGUUGCCCAUCAGAGUCAGACCUUCUUAGCAUCUUCCGGCUGGGCCCAAACUUCCCAAGACCAUUUGGACAAGGUCAUCUCUAUCCCACCAUGGCCUCCUCCCAGAGGAGGAGAAGAAUCAUGCUGUUACAGCAGAACCGAAGAUUUGGGCAAGGGAGCUAAUGAUUAUGUUCUGCGUCAGGUCAGAGAUGGGCUGGGAAAGCCACUCCAAAGCCAAGACAAGCAGUUUCCUGGAAAAAGAAGGCUGCGCGGAGCCCAGAGUGGCCUGGAUCCUGCCUCAUUUCCUGGACCAGCUCCUUAGGUGGUUACUGGAUUGCCAAUAAAGCAGAGCUUAUUAAAGUCAACGAGCUCAGGCUUCAUCGCCGCCAUGGUAUCCAAGCACCAGUCUGUCUGGGAUUUCAUUUGCCAGAUGGACAAAGGAGAGGUUGUUCCAAUACAUAUCCUGAGUGGUGGGGGUGGGGAGAGAAGGGGAAGAAUGCUCUCUAGAGAAUUCUCUUUGUCCUCUGAAGUAAAUAGAGAUCAUGUCUUCCCCAGCCACACUCAGUGAUCUGAAUCUCUUGGACUGUGGAUUUUUCCUUUACCUGCUGUGAAGCCUUGAAAAGUAUGAAUUAGCUUGAUAAUGAUCCUCUAAAGAUGUUCAAGAGUUAAAGACGUGUUUAAGUUCUUCAGGCAAUCCAAUAUGACUACGGGUUUCCAAAAAUUUGAAGGAAACUGAAAAUCAUAGUUCCCAAACCAGAUAUUUUCCGGUGUCCAGAUGUUCACUGGCAUGCAAACCAAAUGUCUGGAUUAUGAGCUCCUUUUUUCAUUUCUUUUUAUCAGCUUACAUCCAGAUGUUGGAUCCAACUGGUCAGAGGCCUGGGGCAGAGACAGAAAUCAAAUCUAGGGUGUUCAUCUAGAGUCUCCUGCUCCUCCAUUCCUGCUUCCUCCUCACGCUGCCCCCACAUCCUCCCCAACUCACCUUCAUGCUACAUCUCGGCAAAUACAGCUCAUAUCCAGGCACGGUGCAGCCCUUGACAGCUGGGUCCGCAAAGGCAGAUCGGGUAUAUCUUUAAAGAAAAGUUAUCUUAACCAUUGAGAAGCCUUCCUUCCUCAGAGGAGAGCACCUCCCCAGCAGACCUCCGAGGAGACCAAGGGCAGGACAGGAAGGGUGAAAGGAAGUUUCAGGACUGCAGGAAAUAAGAGCUUGGAGGUCAAGGGAGAGAUCAGAUAAAACAUGAAUCUGAUCAGCAUCCUAGUGGUCUAGAGUGGAGACAAUCUGCGGAGUCAACCUCAGUAAGGACACACAUAGAGAAGAACCAAAGCCUCUAAAGACGAAGCUGAGAAGUGUACGGUCGUAGAAGACUCGUGUCUGUUAUUCUUAAAAGCUCAAGGAGAUGUUCUGCCAAUUGAAUGGAAACUGUCCAUAGUGGGGAGCAGAGAGCCUCAUCUUUUCUGGAACUGAACAUCCAUCCUUAAGGCCAGAUUUCUCCCAUCACCAACUUUAACUCCUGCCCUAGCCCUCUCUCUUCCUUUUCAAAACCCUCUCCACCCAGGAAGGGAGAUUCUGGAGCCAAGACUGUACCAGCCACACCUCCCCAGAGUUGUUAAGGAAGGAACUCGAAGCCAGGGGUGGUCUUCUGGCAAGCACCCCCACUACCAGUAGCAGGACAGAUGUGUUUCUAAUGGACUACACUAUCCCCGGAGGUCACAUGAUUCAGGCUGCCAAGGGUACCUGCCCUUGGGAAAUCAACUCCCGAAGAUAAAUUGGGAUUGGGUCCUGAGAAGAUCCAUGGAAGCCCAGAGGACCCUGCCUCUCUCUGUUGCUUCAUGCUGUAGAGGCAGUACUGGGGAGGGCCUGCCCCACAUCCGGCAGGGCAGCUGGAACCAUGUGUUUGAUGACACUCUGCUCCCUCAAUGUGGAGCCUCAUCCUCAUCUCACAGUCUAGCAGGCCUCUGGUGGGUUAGGCUUGUCUCACCCAGUGUGUGAGUUUUUUUGGAAGUGACCUGAUUUUGGAGUUUCCCUCCAAGCCUUUCUCAGGUACAUGCUUUCUCUUUUAUUCUGUCUUCUUUUUUUGAUCUUCUUAAAUCUGAUUUUCUCCUUUUUCCCUCUCUUGUCUCCAUCUUUUUUCCAGUCUCUCGCUUCUCUUUAUUUCUCCCCAUAUUUCACUCUGUUCUCUCACCCCAACCUUUCCCUUCUGUUUCUCUCCCUCCCUCUCUUCCCACCCCCUGCCUGGCCUUCCAUAUAUCAAGCAGAGUUUUAUCACCUUAUGCAGGGGCAGCCCUGCCACCUGCCAUAAAGUUGAUAGGCUAAUGACAUUUUGUGGAUAUUGCCAUGUCACAAGUCCAGGACAGCAUCAAAAAUAGCCCUGAUGUCUAAACCACUUCAGCUAUCUUUUUUAUUUUUAAAAUAAAUACAUUCACAUGCUUUUAAGAAACUAUAAAAAUAUAUAAAGUAAAAAGAUCUUUCUCUCACACUGUCUCCACCUCUCCUGGUCUCACCGUUGUGCUUAGGGGAAACCAUUGUGAUUAGUUUCUCCUGUGUCCUUCCAGAGUGUCUUUAUGCAAAUGAAAAUUAUUGUGAUAAUAUAUUCCUAUUUUCCCCCUUACUACACAAAAGAUAGACUACCAUAAUCCCAUUCUGCACUUUUUUUUCACUUGAUAAUAAAAACAUGAUUUUAUUAA